GAUGAAGAACGCAGCGAAAUGCGAUAAGUAAUGUGAAUUGCAGAAUUCAGUGAAUCAUCGAAUCUUUGAACGCACAUUGCGCCCCCUGGUAUUCCGGGGGGCAUGCCUGUCCGAGCGUCAUUACAACCCUCAAGCUCAGCUUGGUGUUGGGCCCCGCCGCCCCGGCGGGCCCUAAAGUCAGUGGCGGUGCCGUCCGGCUCCGAGCGUAGUAAUUCUUCUCGCUCUGGAGGCCCGGUCGUGUGCUCGCCAGCAACCCCCAAUUUUUUUCAGGUUGACCUCGGAUCAGGUAGGGAUACCCGCUGAACUUAAGCAUAUCAUAAGCGGAGGA
rnacentral:misc_RNA from 1 species